rnacentral:lncRNA from 1 species
CAUGAAUUAUGUAAAUAACUGUCAUCAUCUGUAAUUUGUCAUGGUCAUAUUUUUAUCGUUUUUAAGUCUGUAGUGUUUCAACUAGUGUAUGCGAAUAUUUACAGUUCCGAUCCGGAUUGUUGUUUUAUGUUUCUCAGAAUUGUUUAUUGUCUUCUUCUACGUUAUAAAAUAACUGACAGACUAUGUGCAGGUAAAUAAGAAAUCUUUUAACCUUAUACUACUACAAUUCUUCAUUCUAAUGCGUGUUUAUGCAUACAUGUAUUUCUAUUUUUUUCUCUCUGGAUUGUAAGUGUAUAUUUGUUCAUCGUUGAACAAGGUAAGAUUUAAUUUAUGAUUCAAUCUUUCAUUUGGUUUAUAUAUAUAUAUUUUUAGAAGUGAUUAAUUGUUGCCCAGUGGCAAAUAUUUCAUGAAAUACCAGGGGGAUCAUCUUAAAAAUGUAUUCAUCUAUAGCUCUAUGGUAUCUGAAUCCAGUUAAUACAUACAUAUAUAACCCCGCCACAUACUGAUGAUCAUAAUGUAUGUAUUAGCCUGUCCAAAGUCAAGUUCAGUAAUUCUGUGGUAGUCGUUUGUUGCUAUAUAUCAAACUUAUUUUUCGUACAUUAUUUGGUACAAAAAUCAGGUCGAUAGUUUUCUCGUUUGAUUGUUUUAUAUCUGUCAUUUCGCGGACAUUUAAAGCUGACUUUGCUAUAGGGUUUUACUCAUUGUUGAAGGCCAGUGGUGACCUAUAGUUAUUUCUGUGUUAUUUGAUCUCUUGUGAAGAGUUGUCGCAUUGCGAAUCAUACCCAGCUUCUUAUUUAUAUAUAUAUACAGAAUUUGUAUAAAUCUAUGGCGAUUUCUUGUUUUUCCCCAAAUCUAUGGGAGAUUUUAAAUCGUGUUAUUUUCCGGGAAAAAGAUUAAUAUAUACCGUCACAAUUAAAUAACAUCUUCUUGCGUUGUCGAUUUAGCUAAAGAUCACACAUGUAUACUGUUGGGUAAGAAAGUAAGAUUUCUUGAGAAAGCCACUUGUUUUAAGGCAAGUCAUUGGUCAGAUAUGUACUCACUCAUUUUUUUUUGCGCUCAAUCUGUCAUAGUUUUGGGAACUAGUAAAUUCGCCUGAGAUAACGAAACUAUAGAUUAUUUGCUAUGAUUUCAUUUUUUCAAACUAUGCUCUGUCAUCAAUUUGGGAUGACAUACUGUCAUAUUUGCCAUAGAUUUGGAAUCGGCCAUUUGCAAUAGAUCUGACACACGCCAUGAUUAUGAGUCCUACAUACAAUGUAUAUACAUGUAGGUAUCACGUGAGGAAUAUUAUAUAUAUGUUUCUUAUAUAUUUUGGGGGGAAUGGUCGAACAUGUUUACUUACAUCGUGUUCAAACUCACGCUUAUUUUUUGUAAUCUUUAACUUUUUAUUAUAUUUUGUCUGUCUUGAUCGUAUUGUAAUAUUGGCAAAUGAUUUCAAAUUUGGUCGUUUAACUUUACAGCUCACCUGGCCCAAAGGGACACGCCAGCUUUUCUUAUCACUUGUAUGUCGUCCGUCGUCCGUCGUCUGUCGUCCGUCGUCCGUUGUCGUCGUCCGUCGUAAGGCAGCAACCAUUUGAUUUUCUGGGGGGGGGGGGGGGGGGCUAUGUUUUUUUUUUGGAAAAAAAAGUUUGUUUCCAGUUUUUGGAGAAAAAAAUAAUUUGUUUUUGAUUCUGAGAAAAAAAAAUUGUUUGUUUCACCCUCAGCUGCCACUAUAUGUAAUGCUAAAAUUGAAAGAAAAAAAUUGUUUUCGACUUGUUGCGAAAAAAAUAGAUUGUUUUUCGCCGCAGGCGAAAAAAAUUUUUUGUCCAGAAAAAAAAAACCAUAGCCCCCCCCCAGAAAAUCAAAUGGUUGCUGCCUAAACUUUUACAAAAAUCUUCUUAUCUGAAACUACUUGGCCAAAUUAAACCAAACUUGGCAACAAUCAUCAGGGGGUAUCUACUUUUAAAAAAAUGUGUCCGAUGACCCAGUCCACCAACCGAGAUUGCCGCAAAAACCUUUUUUUCCCGCAGUUUUUUCUUAUUAUCUUGAAUAUCAUUAUAUCUAGAAUAAGAGGUAAACUCUAAACAGCAAUAAUGUUCAGCAAAGUAAGAUAUACAAAUAAGUCAACAUGACCAACAUGUCAAUUGACCCCAUAAGGAUUUAUUGCCCUUUUAAAGAAAUUUUUAACAAUUUUUCGUAAAUAUUUGUGAUCUUUUACAAUAGUCUUCUCAUUUGAAACAACAGAGACAAAUUUAACCAAACUUAACUUGACCACACGCAUCAUAAGAGUAUCAAAAUGGCAGACUUGGCUAAAAAUAUGAUAUUGGGAUACAAGGCUUAUAUCUCUGAAACUAAAGCCAAAGUAUGACGGUUGCAUUAUUUUAUGCAUCAAUUGUAAAUAAAACAAAAUGAGGUGAGCGACACAAGCUCAUUUGUGCCUCUAGUUUGAUGUUUUAUUCAAAGGUUACUGAUGGGUCUUUUGAUGACGAAACACGUGUUUCGUACAUACAAACUCAUAAGCCUUAUAUCUUUGAUGAGCUUUAUUUUUAAAGAAAAAUGAGACAAAUGAUAUACAACUUAAAAGAAAUCAAACGAAAUCAUUUGUGGAAAAGUAUUUCUGUAAUACUAGAUAUAAACUAGAAGAUGUGGUAUGAUAGAUAUUGAGACAAAGCUCUACAGUUGACCAAAAUGACCAAAAUGACACAGAAAUUAACAACUAUAGGUCACCAUACGGCAUUAUUUAUGAGCAAAGCCUAUAGUCAGCUAUAUAAAAGGCCCCGACAUGACAAUGUAAAACAAUUCAAACGAGAAAACUAACGACCUAAUUGAUGUAUACAUAAAAAUGAACUAAUAACAAAUAUGUAACACACAAACAAACGACAACGACUGAAAUACAGGAUGUACAAAAAUAUACAUUUGUGAAAAGUCAUGCUAUGACAUCUUUAAUAUAAUCGACCGGAGAGUCGGGAGUAACGGUUCAUCGUUGAAGGUACUUAACCGAAUUCACUCUUAGAUUGGUCUUUCACUUUUUAUAACUGUAUAGUUUGUUUUGUCAAAUUUUCAAACUACACCUACAAUUGCACCUAGGCUUGGACUCUUUUUAAAGACACGAUAUUUGGUUAACCAUAAUAGUUAAUAACAAAAGUCACGGAAUCAUAUGCGUUUGUUUACAUUAUUCUCUGGUUUUUAGUCUUAUCUCUUAACUAAGUACACUUAAUACAUUUAUAAGACAAGGUCUAAACUAUAAUGGACCACUGUUUUGGUUUGGAUUUAUUUGUCGGCACAAAUUGCGUUUCAUGUAAGUUUUCAGAAUUUUAAGGAAGCGUUGUAAGAUGGAAUAGAUUAGGGUCCCUCAAUUCUAUAUUCUUUAGAUUUAAAUCGUUGUUUAUUUUAGUAGGCUAAGCCUAUUAUCCUUUUUUCUAUAUAUUUCACCACCCUAUUUUUCCCUGUUCUUAAUUUGUUUGACUUGUCUUUCUCUUUUUAUCUUAUCUUUUGCACUUUGUGUCCACUUGUUUCUUAUUUUGAAAAGCCCUAUCUGACCUUCUUGUAAAGGAUUGGACAAAUAAAUAAAUACAUUUUAAGAACAACGACUUGCGCACUUCCUGAUACAUGUAACAUAAACAAGAGGUUUUUUUUUGACGUGUUGUUUGUUGAAAAAUGACGAAAUUUCCCCCGUGUUGUCAUUAUACACGUAUAUGUUCUUGCGUUAUAAAAUCAACUGUUACAUGUACAUGUAUAUGUGGAAUAUCACAUUGCUUAUGAUUACGUAAUAGAUAUGUAAAUCGACUUAAAUUUACUAUCGGUUUGUUCAGAAUGUACGUACUAUUUGUUUGUUUUUUUUUUCUCUUUCAAGAAACUUAUAUCAGUAAAUUAAAAUGCAUUACUUUACAUUCAACUUUAUAUUGCCAACCAAAUCACAAAGAACUGAAAAAAGUACGUAAGAAAGCAGAUUCAAAUCGUCGCGUGUUUCUUACUUGGUCCAUAAAAGGGUCUAGAUGGGGUCUUUUUUUCUGUAUUCUUUAGAUGUUAAGGCCAAUUAUUUUUAUAUGCUUUUAUCUUUUUCUUAUAUACGUAACUAUGAUAUUCUGUAAGUAUUCUCUUUUCGGAAUUUGGGUCCUCAGUGCUCUUUAACUUCGUACUAAUUUUCCGUUUCCUUUUUUUUUUAUUCAAAUGACACUGAUGAGUCUAAUGUAAACCAAAUGCUCGUUUGACUUUCAAAAGUGUAAGCCUGGCAUUUUAGAUAAUUUUGUUUAAUAAACACAAGCAAGACUAUCAUAGAAAUGACUAUCAUAUGUUUGAUUGUCUUAAAUAAAAUGACAAAACAAUAAUGUGUUUGAACCAAAGCUCCGUGUUGAAGGCCUUACAUUGACCUAUAAUGGUUUCCUUUAUAAAUUGUUAUUUGGAUGGAGAAUUGUCUCAUUGGCAGUCAGACCACAUCUUCCUACAUGUAUACCCAUUGAAAGUGAUAUUCGUGCACACCUUUCUUCAUUUAUGACAUCACAGUAAUGGUGGACACAUUGGUUUAGAACUGCUUACCCUUCAGGGGCACUUGAGUUCAACACCGAUAUAAUGGAUCGAUCUGUACAUUUUAAAAAGUUACAUUACAUGUAUAUUUCAUAGGAAUCUAUAAUUUCCAUUAGCUGACGACAAUAAUAUGUAGCGGGCACUCCAAUAUCACAUUUCAUUUCCGUAUAAAAUGUCACAACUACAUGUAUGACUACAUGUGCUAUUCGUGACGAUGUUAAGUUAAUGCAUAGAAAACCUACGAAAACAUUGAUACAAUUCACAAUUUUAUGUUUGAAGCAUAUAUAUACAUGUAAUUUUAAGAAUUAAUUAUUUCUUUUAUAAUUUCACAGGGCUAUGAAAGCGUUCCAUAUAAACUGUACAAGGCUUUUACACCAAUGCAAUUUAAAAAAAAAUAUUAAAUUCUUUCUUUAUCUCCUAUUACUUUCUUUCCCCAUUUGUUUAUCUCCUAAAAGAGCAAAAUUCUAAUUAAGUGGUAUUCUUAGGUUUACAUAAAUGUUGCUUUAUGGUUACAAGAGCGCAAUUAUUUGUUUACAUUUUACCGGUAAGAUGGUACUCAGAAUCAUUGAGAAUCCUAUACGGCUUCUGAUUUGAUGAUACAGGAUUGGAAUUACAUUUAAUCGAAAGUUUAUCUAAUUAGGUUUAAAAGUUGUCGAAAAUCAUUUUCACAUUUUACGAAGUAUAGAAAAUAUCUUCCAUUUCUGCACGUCGGAGCCAUUAAAAAUAUGCCCUUAUCCUUAAACGAAACAAAAACUAUCUUUAAAAAGAUAUCCGACGUAUUUAAAUUUGAGUAUAAUUAUGUUUAAAACUAUCAUUUCGAUAACCUUCAGAAGCACAAAGAUACCAUUUAAAUAACGUUUUCUCUGUUUGUGUUCAGUAUUCUCGGUCCUCGUAUCUUUCUGUUUACAUUCACCAAAACCCCGCGGAAAUCUCACAUGCGUAGGUGCGUUUUAAAAGUCAUGUACGUUCGUACAACAAAGCUACAUUAAAAAUUAUAUAAUUGUCCCGAAUAAACAGCUGUCACGGAUGCAAAGAGCUAUUGGAGAAACAAUUAUUUUGAUAAAAAUAUAAAUCUUUGUAAGAUCUAGUUCCAAUAUUUAUAGUUUUUCACUUGCUUUCCAUCACGAUAUAAUUAACGAGACGUUUUUUUCAAACACAACUAAAUCACCCAUCAAGACAGCAUUUUGUCCAAUCACAGAAAGGAGUUUCGAGCAUGCGUAUUCUGUUGCCAUAGUUAAGCGUCCUUAAGUUCAAAGGGCACAAACCGAAACUAUACCGACUACGUCGGAAAAAAUUGUAAUGGUUGUAAUGCAACACUGGCAUUUCUAGUAACAGGAACUGCUACCCAAUUUUCCCUAGUUUGUGUAGUCUUCGAGAAAAAAAAUAUGGAACACCUGUGGUACCCUAUGGAAAAUGCAUUACGAAUAAUUGCGCUCUUGUAACCUUAUAAAACUAUCAUGGUUUGAAUCGUCUGCCGUGGUAGUAUUGACAAGGGAAACUACUGAAUGUUGCAAUAUUGAGUUACAUGUAUCUCCCUUUUGAAGCUUAUGGUACUCUUGACCUAUUUAAUAUUUUAAAGGUCUCCCUGUGACCUUGAAUAUCACGUAUGCUGUCUUAAUCUGAACUUGUGAAAGUUACAUAGAAACACAAUAUGUUGCAUAACUUCCUCUGCAUAAUCUACAUUACACACGCCCACAAAAUCUUGUUUUAAAACUAAUUUCAUGUAGUUUAACUUCUUUUUUUCAGAUCUAAAGAGCUGAAUUUAUUAGAUGGAAAAUGAACAACAAAUUGAAUUAACAGAGUUUACAGAUGUUAAGGUACAAGUAUAAACUUUAUCGACCGGUUCAUUGUACCAUCUCAUUGAAGCUAAUCAUGCGACUAACUGGAGGCGUAUGUGUUGCAGUCAUUCUGGUUUGAGUUUAAACGGUUCCGGUUUUAAAUGGUUAGAACCUAUUAAAACCGGCUUUGGUUCACCGUUUAUCAAAACAAAUAAAUAAAUAUACAAUUUAUAUAUAUUGUUGGAAAAUAUAAAAUUUAUUGGUACGAGCCUUUCUCCUUUUUCGUAGCGAGAACAAAUACAUUUUAUAUUUCCGACAAGGUACAUAUAUAUUGUAUUUAUCCUGAAAAUAAUUGACUUUGCAUAAGACAGAAUGAAAAAUAAAUAUUUUGUGACAUGACUUGCAUAAUAGUCGAGGAACAAAAUGUUUAAGGAGUUUGCGAAUCAAAUUGAAUAAAAUAUCAAAACAUGCUAUAGUUUUUCUUUUACAAAUAGUGACUUAGAUUGGGAGUUGUCUCGUUGCCACUCACACCACAUCUUCCUAUAUCUAAUUGAUAACCGAUGCAAUGAAUGAUAAAUCUGGGGGGAAAUCCCCCUCCCUCUCUGAAUAUAAUAUUGAAUAUUUUUAUCUACAAUAAUAUCCUAUAUGGUUUGUCAUUUAAAUUCCUAAUAAAAAUUGGUAUGAUUGAAAAUACAUGUAUAUUUGCUACUUUUCUAACAGCGCUUGACAUAAAAAAAACUUUACGAAAAGUUAAUUCAUAGUUAAACAUGGAAAACGGAGAUUUGUCCACGUAUUAAUAAUGCAACCAAACGGCUCCCCGGCAUUUCCAGCUCCGAUCCACAUACGGGUCCGCAUACUACUCUACACUAAAGUAAUGGAGUAAAGGAAAAUUGUUCCGGAACGGAAACGAUCACUGUACGAAGUUUGCAACCCAACUACAGUAGAGUGAUUGAUUGUUGGUUGCUUAACGUUCAGUGGCAAAUAUUUCAUGCAUAUUCAGGACGAUUGACAUAAGAUUCAAAGGGUAAUAAACAAUUCUUGCUCCUUGUAUCAUAUCAAGGCGAUUAGUCCUUUUGGGAUAGAUAUAUUAAUAUAAUGAAAAAGGGUUAAUUUUAUUAUUGAUUGAUUGUUGGUUUAUUAACGUCCAGUGGCAAAUUUUAUGAUAGAUUAUAUUAGGAUCAUACUUUAAGGGAUCAGUUCUAUAAUAUGUAUCGCUGGGCCGUCAGAUAAAUCUCAGUGGCGGAUGCAGGAAUUUUCGAAAGGGGGUGCUAGCCCAGGGCAAAGGGGGUGCAGGGGGGGGUGCAAACAUAUGUCCCGAUUCAAAUGCAUUGAUCGGCCAAAAUAAAGGGGGGGGCGGACCCCGGAACCCCCUCUGGAUCCGCCACUGAAUCUGACUGAACCAUUAUGUUUAUGAAUGCCCAUAUAUAUAUUUUAAAUCUUAAUCUUUGUAGUUCGACCAAUAAAUACCUAAAUACACCCACACUUUCUUUAUAAAAUACAUAGAUGGUAGAAUAAACUUGUUGUUGUCACAGCAUGCACUACACCUAAAAUGCAAACAGACUGACACAACAAAUAUGUAUUGUUUAAUUGAUUAAGGAAUGACUAUGUACCUAUGUUUCAAGCGAUUAACUCUCAACACACUUGUUAGCAAUCAAAUUCGUUUCAACGCAAUUAAUUGAUUCCAGAGUACAUGCACACUGAAUGUAGCCAACUGAAUUUGAUAGUUUGUUCGUAUGUUGUACAAUUACACCAUUGUCGUGGUUUGGGGUGGGUGAGCUACAGACAUUUUCUUAUGUCGAAAAUGGUGGAUUCAAACGGCUUUUGUAGCUAGGUAAACCUCUCACUUGUAUAUAAACUUCUCACUAAAUAAGCUUCAGUCCUAUUUUUCAAGAAUUUUACUUCUGUAUUUUUGUUUAUUUAUUUUACUUUUUUCCCAAGGUUAUUGGCCAGUACUAAAUUGGUAUAAAACAUAUAACAAUAAUUGUAUUUUGUUCUGUUAUCAGGUCCAGGAUGAAGACGAUUUUGCAACAGAACAACACAAACCGAUUUCCAAAAAAAUGAAAUAUGUCUGGAGGACCUUGGAAAUCGUCAUUAUAACAUCGGUAGUCUUACUGAUUAGUUUCAUAAUAAGAAAGUCAUUGGAAGUAAAUAUUUGCAUCCGGCAUAAUUUAUUUGUAUAAUAAUAAUUUGAAAUGUGAAUUUAACACAGUGAGAAUAGCGUUUAACGCUAGUGCUGGGACACACAUAUUCACAGAGGAGUGUUACAAUUGCCAAACAUGAACAAGAAAAUAGCAAAAUAAAGCUAGAAAUCCGUACUAUUUAUAUUUAUUUGUUAAACAUUUGUACUUGAAAUGAUUGUUGAUGAAUGUAUAUUUUUUGCUUGUAUGUUUGUUUUUAAAAUAAAAUUUUAAUGUCAAAAUCG